ACAAAGUAAUUGGCUGGAGUCAACCUGGGCCCUCAGUAAAACAAGUGUGGGUUCGGGAAGUCAAAAGAGUUUGAGAGCUCCUGCCUCUGUCCUAUGGCAUUCCUGUGGUGGAAAAUCCCACAGUGAGGGGAGCUGUGGGCAGGAAAGUGGAGCACAGCCAUCCUGCUGCUUUCUGAAGGCAUCUAUCAGGUUGUGCAGGCAUAGCCAGGUCUCUAGCAUCCCUGUCUCUGCUCUUAGGUGUCAAUUUCUAUCAGACACUGGAAAUCCUGAGUAUAUUUCCAAGAAGAUGGGCAGAGUCAUUUGAUUGACCAUUGUGCUGGUCACACAGAAGAGAAGAAUGACCAUUCUUGCUCACAGGCUUAAAACCCACCUGCAUUCAUAUCUCCUCUAAGCGCUGCAAACAGCAAAGCAGAGAUGGUAACAGCCACUAAAGGAGGAAGGGCCACGUACAGAGAUGUUCACUUACCUCCAAAGGUCUUUACUCUCUUGGUCAAAGGCCCUGACUGCCUAUCUUCAGUUUGGGUAUCUUUAAAUUUAAUCUGUCCAUAUUCCUUUUGCAUAGCUCUUGGAUGAAAAGGUUUGGCUCUGUAAAACAAUAUUGCCAAGCUGCUACAUGAGGAAUGAGCCACACAUAGAAGAUCAGAAAUGUUUGAGAUGGAAGAAACUGAUCUGGUCCACUACCUCGACCUUCUUUGCAAUGGUUCUGGCAUGCAUCUGUCAACAUGGCUGACGUAGCUACACAGGAAUAUGGUGGGAAAAGUCUUGGCUAGAAAAAUCUUACUGCACACAUAUGAUGAAAGAGAAGGGAAAGGCAAUGUUGGAAGAGAACGACUUGUUCCCAGCAGUCAGCAAAGUCUCCAGCCAUAUUACAGCGGUGGCAGCUGCCUCUUCCCCAGUGGAGUGUGCAUGCCAUUACAGCCAAGGAAAUCGUGCUCUCCUGGGACUCGGAUUGAGCAGUGUCUAAUAAAAGGCCUGAUGAAGAGAAACUUCUGCAAGAUUUAUUUUCCCCUGGGAAAUUAACCAUUGUAUACCACAGCACACAUGGCAUAUGGCUGCCUGUCCAUGGGAGCACUGCAUCCAACUUCUGAUUCAGCAAAAUACUGGAAGUGGUGUUGUGAUAAAUAGGGCUUAAACAGAGGAAAGAAAGCACUCACACCAGCCACCACCACGUAAGUAAAACUUUGCAGAGCCACCUCAGUGAAUGUGAGGGACGAAGUGCUGAGGUCCUGCUCCCUGUUGGGUCAGCCAUCACCAACAUCCUCUUUGGUGCCAAACAAAAGGAGGAAUCGCAGGAUGAGAAUUUUGGCAAGAUGGAGAGCAGAUCUCUGGAAGGAGUUGGAAGAGCUGUAUCUUUGUUUUGAAGAGAAAAAACAAGCUUUGGAAAUGAUGCUUUGUGCCCAUGCAGCAAGCUGUGCUGUGGGCUCCCCGCUCUGCAAAGCACUGCAGCCUCCUUCCCCUGGGCCAGGGCAUGAGGCAGAGAGAAAUGAUGCUGUGCCUACCGCUGUAGUAUCACCAGCUCAGACCUGAAGCUGUCCAUAUACCAUAAGGUUCCUCUGAGUAUUUCUAACCUUACAGAUUCAAGCUUGUCCAAGCACAGAGUUUUGUGUCUCGGUUUCUUCCCC
ensembl:lncRNA